rnacentral:rRNA from 2 species
CUUUUACAAUGAAGAGUUUGAUCCUGGCUCAGGAUGAACGCUAGCUACAGGCUUAACACAUGCAAGUCGAGGGGCAUCAGGAUGUAGCAAUACAUUGCUGGCGACCGGCGCACGGGUGAGUAACACGUAUCCAACCUGCCUUUUACUCGGGGAUAGGCUUUCGAAAGAAAGAUUAAUACCCGAUGGCAUAAUAUUUCCGCAUGGGAUUAUUAUUAAAGAAUUUCGGUAAAAGAUGGGGAUGCGUUCCAUUAGGCAGUUGGCGGGGUAACGGCCCACCAAACCUUCGAUGGAUAGGGGUUCUGAGAGGAAGGUCCCCCACAUUGGAACUGAGACACGGUCCAAACUCCUACGGGAGGCAGCAGUGAGGAAUAUUGGUCAAUGGGCGGAAGCCUGAACCAGCCAAGUAGCGUGAAGGAUGACUGCCCUAUGGGUUGUAAACUUCUUUUAUAGGGGAAUAAAAUGAGCCACGUGUGGCUUUUUGUAUGUACCCUAUGAAUAAGGAUCGGCUAACUCCGUGCCAGCAGCCGCGGUAAUACGGAGGAUCCGAGCGUUAUCCGGAUUUAUUGGGUUUAAAGGGAGCGUAGGUGGACAUGUAAGUCAGUUGUGAAAGUUUGCGGCUCAACCGUAAAAUUGCAGUUGAUACUGUGUGUCUUGAGUACAGUAGAGGUGGGCGGAAUUCGUGGUGUAGCGGUGAAAUGCUUAGAUAUCACGAAGAACUCCGAUUGCGAAGGCAGCUCACUGGACUGUUACUGACACUGAGGCUCGAAAGUGUGGGUAUCAAACAGGAUUAGAUACCCUGGUAGUCCACACAGUAAACGAUGAAUACUCGCUGUUUGCGAUAUACGGCAAGCGGCCAAGCGAAAGCAUUAAGUAUUCCACCUGGGGAGUACGCCGGCAACGGUGAAACUCAAAGGAAUUGACGGGGGCCCGCACAAGCGGAGGAACAUGUGGUUUAAUUCGAUGAUACGCGAGGAACCUUACCCGGGCUUAAAUUGCAUUUGAAUGUUGGGGAAACCCAACAGCCGUAAGGCAAAUGUGAAGGUGCUGCAUGGUUGUCGUCAGCUCGUGCCGUGAGGUGUCGGCUUAAGUGCCAUAACGAGCGCAACCCUUAUCUUUAGUUACUAACAGGUUAUGCUGAGGACUCUAGAGAGACUGCCGUCGUAAGAUGUGAGGAAGGUGGGGAUGACGUCAAAUCAGCACGGCCCUUACGUCCGGGGCUACACACGUGUUACAAUGGGGGGUACAGAAGGCAGCUACCUGGUGACAGGAUGCUAAUCCCAAAAGCCUCUCUCAGUUCGGAUCGAAGUCUGCAACCCGACUUCGUGAAGCUGGAUUCGCUAGUAAUCGCGCAUCAGCCACGGCGCGGUGAAUACGUUCCCGGGCCUUGUACACACCGCCCGUCAAGCCAUGGGAGCCGGGGGUACCUGAAGUACGUAACCGCAAGGAGCGUCCUAGGGUAAAACUGGUGACUGGGGCUAAGUCGUAACAAGGUAGCCGUACCGGAAGGUGCGGCUGGAACACCUCCUUUCU